UAACCUACGGGGCGCAGCAGUGGGGAAUAUUGCACAAUGGGGGAAACCCUGAUGCAGCGAUGCCGCGUGGAGGAAGAAGGUUUUCGGAUUGUAAACUCCUUUUAUCAGGGACGAUAAUGACGGUACCUGAAGAAAAAGCUCCGGCUAACUACGUGCCAGCAGCCGCGGUAAUACGUAGGGAGCGAGCGUUGUCCGGAAUUACUGGGUGUAAAGGGAGCGUAGGCGGGACGGCAAGUCAGAUGUGAAAACUGAGGGCUCAACCUUCAGACUGCAUUUGAAACUGUGCGGCUGGAGUGUCGGAGAGG
rnacentral:rRNA from 1 species